ACCUGGGUGGCUCAGUCAGUUGAGCAUCUGACUUCAGCUCAGGUCAUGAUCUCACGGUUCAAUUCGUGGGUUCAAGCCCCUCCUCAGACU
rnacentral:tRNA from 1 species